AUACGGAAGGUCCGGGCGUUAUCCGGAUUUAUUGGGUUUAAAGGGAGCGCAGGCGGAGAUGCAAGCGUGACGUCAAAUUUCGGGGCUCAACCCCGUCUCGCGUCGCGAACUGCGUCCCUUGGUUGCGGGAAGGGGAGGCGGAACUCGUGGUGUAGCGGUGAAAUGCAUAGAUAUCACGAAGAACUCCGAUCGCGAAGGCAGCCUUCCGGCCCGUCAACGACGCUCAUGCUCGAAGGUGCGGGUAUCAAACAGGAUUAGAUACCCUGGUAGUCCGCACGGUAAACGAUGAUUACCCGCUGUCGGCGGCAGACAGUCGGCGGCCAAGCGAAAGCGAUAAGUAAUCCACCUGGGGAGUACGCCGGCAACGGUGAAACUCAAAGGAAUUGACGGGG
rnacentral:rRNA from 1 species